UUCACAAGCUCCCUAUUCCCUCCUGCCUCCACCUGCCUCUAUGAGGUUGCUUCUCCACCCACCCACCCACCUUCUGCCUCAGUGCCCUAGCAUUCCCCUAUCCUGUGUCAUAAAGGCUCCACAGGACCAGAGUCUCCUUUCCCAGUGAUGCCAGACAUGUCAUCUUGAUAGAUGCAAAAGGAAAUCUUUGCCUUCAUCCAGUAUGCAAGCUGGUACAUCUGAGCUGAAAGGUCUACUUUUGCUUUUCUCUGUGGCUACUGGACCAAAUAAUUUUUCAAUUCCUCCAAGGCAUCUAUAUAUUAUGUCUAAAUUUCUUCAUGAGCUAGAAAGAAACCAUUCUGUAAAGAAAGAAAACGAAAAUACUUUUAAUAUUAACAUAUAAAAUAAAUGUAAAACUUAA